GACGAACGCUGGCGGCGUGCCUAAUACAUGCAAGUCGAGCGAACAGAGAAGGAGCUUGCUCCUUUGACGUUAGCGGCGGACGGGUGAGUAACACGUGGGCAACCUACCUUAUAGUUUGGGAUAACUCCGGGAAACCGGGGCUAAUACCGAAUGAUCUGUUUCACCUCAUGGUGAAAUAUUGAAAGACGGUUUCGGCUGUCGCUAUAGGAUGGGCCCGCGGCGCAUUAGCUAGUUGGUGAGGUAACGGCUCACCAAGGCGACGAUGCGUAGCCGACCUGAGAGGGUGAUCGGCCACACUGGGACUGAGACACGGCCCAGACUCCUACGGGAGGCAGCAGUAGGGAAUCUUCCACAAUGGGCGAAAGCCUGAUGGAGCAACGCCGCGUGAGUGAAGAAGGAUUUCGGUUCGUAAAACUCUGUUGUAAGGGAAGAACAAGUACAGUAGUAACUGGCUGUACCUUGACGGUACCUUAUUAGAAAGCCACGGCUAACUACGUGCCAGCCGCCGCAGUAAAAC
rnacentral:rRNA from 1 species